UACGUAGGGUGCAAGCGUUAAUCGGAAUUACUGGGCGUAAAGCGUGCGCAGGCGGUUUUGUAAGACAGGCGUGAAAUCCCCCGGGCUCAACCUGGGAAGUUGCGCUUGUUGACUGCAAGGACUGGAGUGCGGCAGAGGGGGAGUGGAAUUCCGCGUGUAGCAGUGAAAUAGCGUAGAUAUGCGGAGGAACACCGAUGGCGAAGGCAAUCCCCUGGGCCUGCACUGACGCUCAUGCACGAAAGCGUGGGGAGCAAACAGGAUUAGAUACCCGGGUAGU
rnacentral:rRNA from 1 species